ACUCCUACGGGGGGCAGCAGUCGAGAAUCUUCGGCAAUGAGCGAAAGCUUGACCGAGCGAUGCCGCGUGCGGGAUGAAGGCCCUCGGGUUGUAAACCGCUGUCAGUUGGGAGGAAGGAUUCGUGAAGAGCGAAUCUUGACCUAUCUUCAGAGGAAGUCCGGGCUAAGUUCGUGCCAGCAGCCGCGGUAA
rnacentral:rRNA from 1 species